rnacentral:rRNA from 1 species
CACGUAGUUAGCCGGUGCUUCUUCUGCGGGUACCGUCUUCAUUCGUUCCUGCUGAAAGAGGUUUACAACCCGAAGGCCUUCAUCCCUCACGCGGCGUCGCUGCGUCAGGCUUCCGCCCAUUGCGCAAUAUUCCCCACUGCUGCCUCCCGUAGGAGUCUGGGCCGUGUCUCAGUCCCAGUGUGGCCGGUCGCCCUCUCAGGCCGGCUACCCGUCGUCGCCUUGGUAGGCCAUUACCCCGACCAACAAGCUGAUAGGCCGCGGGCCCAUCCUUGACCGAAAAAACCUUUCAACCACCACAGAUGCCUGUAGAAGUGAUAUCCGGUAUUAGCAGCUGUUUCCAACUGUUAUCCCGAAGUCAAGGGCAGGUUACCCACGUGUUACUCACCCGUUCGCCACUCGAGUACCCGCAAGCGGGCCUUUCCGUUCGACUUGCAUGUGUUAACGCACGCCGCCAGCGUCGUCCUGAGCCACGGAGUCAACGUAC